rnacentral:rRNA from 1 species
GUCGAGCGUUGUCCGGAAUUAUUGGGCGUAAAGUAGCUCGUAGGUGGUUGGUCACGUCUGCUGUGGAAACGCAACGCUUAACGUUGCGCGUGCAGUGGGUACGGGCUGACUAGAGUGCAGUAGGGGAGUCUGGAAUUCCUGGUGUAGCGGUGAAAUGCGCAGAUAUCAGGAGGAACACCGGUGGCGAAGGCGGGACUCUGGGCUGUAACUGACACUGAGGAGCGAAAGCAUGGGGAGCGAACAGGAUUAGAUACCCUGGUAGUCCAUGCCGUAAACGUUGGGCACUAGGUGUGGGGGGCAUUCCACGUUCUCCGCGCCGUAGCUAACGCAUUAAGUGCCCCGCCUGGGGAGUACGGUCGCAAGGCUAAAACUCAAAGGAAUUGACGGGGGCCCGCACAAGCGGCGGAGCAUGCGGAUUAAUUCGAUGCAACGCGAAGAACCUUACCAAGGCUUGACAUACACGGACCGUCCUGGAAACAGGUCCUCUUCUUUGAAGCUGGUGUACAGGUGGUGCAUGGUUGUCGUCAGCUCGUGUCGUGAGAUGUUGGGUUAAGUCCCGCAACGAGCGCAACCCUCGUUCUACUGUUGCCAGCAUGUGAUGGUGGGAACUCAUAGAGACUGCCGGGGUCAACUCGGAGGAAGGUGGGGAUGACGUCAAAUCAUCAUGCCCUUUAUGUCUUGGGCUUCACGCAUGCUACAAUGGCUGGUACAGAGAGAGGCGAACCCGUGAGGGCAAGCGAAUCCCUUAAAGCCAGUCUCAGUUCGGAUCGUAGUCUGCAAUUCGACUACGUGAAGUCGGAGUCGCUAGUAAUCGCAGAUCAGCAACGCUGCGGUGAAUACGUUCCCGGGCCUUGUACACACCGCCCGUCAAGUCACGAAAGUCGGUAACACCCGAAGCCGGUGGCCUAACCCGUAGAUGGAAGGGGCCGUCUAAGGUGGGACAUGGUGAUUGGGACUAAGUUGUAACCAGGNKAUACCGUACCCGAAAG